AUGAACGCUGGCGGCGUGCCUAAUCCAUGCAAGUCGAGCGAACGGACGAGAAGCUUGCUUCUCUGAUGUUAGCGGCGGACGGGUGAGUAACACGUGGAUAACCUACCUAUAAGACUGGGAUAACUUCGGGAAACCGGAGCUAAUACCGGAUAAUAUUUUGAACCGCAUGGUUCAAAAGUGAAAGACGGUCUUGCUGUCACUUAUAGAUGGAUCCGCGCUGCAUUAGCUAGUUGGUAAGGUAACGGCUUACCAAGGCAACGAUGCAUAGCCGACCUGAGAGGGUGAUCGGCCACACUGGAACUGAGACACGGUCCAGACUCCUAUGGGAGGCAGCAGUAGGGAAUCUUCCGCAGUGGGCGAAAGCCUGACGGAGCAACGCCGCGUGAGUGAUGAAGGUCUUCGGAUCGUAAAACUCUGUUAUUAGGGAAGAACAUAUGUGUAAGUAACUGUGCACAUCUUGACGGUACCUAAUCAGAAAGCCACGGCUAACUACGU
rnacentral:rRNA from 1 species